rnacentral:tRNA from 1 species
GAGGGCAUAGCUAAGUGGUAGAGUGUGUGCUUAACACACACAAAGUCCUGGGCUCAAUCCCCAGCACCUCUG